GACGAACGCUGGCGGCAGGCCUAACACAUGCAAGUCGAACGAGUGGCGGACGGGUGAGUAAUGUCUGGGAAACUGCCUGAUGGAGGGGGAUAAAUACUGGAAACGGUAGCUAAUACCGCAUACCAUCAGAUGUGCCCAGAUGGGAUUAGCGUGUUGGUGGGGUAAAGGCUCACCAAGGCGACGACCCCUAGCGGGGCUGAGAGGAUGACCAGCCACACUGGAACUGAGACACGGGCCAGACUCCUACGGGAGGCAGCAGUGGGGAAUAUUGCACAAUGGGCGCAAGCCUGAUGCAGCCAUGCCGCGUGUAUGAAGAAGGCCUUCGGUUUGUAAAGUACUUUCAGCGGGGAGGCGUGACCCGCAGAAGAAGCACCGGCUAACUCCGUGCCAGCAGCCGCGGUAAUUC
rnacentral:rRNA from 1 species